UACGUAGGGUCCGAGCGUUGUCCGGAAUUACUGGGCGUAAAGAGCUCGUAGGUGGUUUGUCGCGUUGUUCGUGAAAAACUCACAGCUCAACUGUGGGCGUGCGGGCGAUACGGGCAGACUUGAGUACUGCAGGGGAGACUGGAAUUCCUGGUGUAGCGGUGGAAUGCGCAGAUAUCAGGAGGAACACCGGUGGCGAAGGCGGGUCUCUGGGCAGUAACUACGUGAGGAGCGAAAGCGUGGGGAGCGAACAGG
rnacentral:rRNA from 1 species